AUGCUGUUUGUAAAAUAUGGCAAUGAUCUCAAUGGCUCCAUAUGCAUAUAUAUAUAUAUAUAUGUGCUUACAUAUAUAUAUAUAUAUACAUGUAUUUUUCUUAGAAAUUACCCCCUGUGGAUUGUAAUUUCUUCCUGUGUGUGUACAAAGUUUUUUAAUAUGUCAAUAUUGUCAGCAGACACGUAUGAGAAUGGGAGCAAAGACAUCACUGAGCCUCUAUCCUUUAAGCACCAGAAAAAUCUGCUAAUGUUAUUUUUUGUUUAUUUCAGGUUUCUUUUCUCCAUGGAAAACUCCAAAGCCUGUGAUGGAACGAUGGGAGAAUCAAGGCAGCCCUCAGACAAGCCUAUCUGCUCCAGCUCUGCCACAGAAUAUUCCCUACCCACCCGCUCUUCACAGGAGUUCAUUUCCCGAUUCAACAGAGGCCUUUGAUCCACGGAAACCUGACCCAUAUGAGCUGUAUGAGAAAUCAAGAGCUAUUUAUGAAAGUAGGCGUAAGUGAAAAUCCAGUUCAUCCUGCUGGCCAUUUAAUAUUUUAAUUUUUUUCCUAUGAAUGUGUCAUUGCUGACACAAUUCUCCUUAAUUAACUUUUGUGAUUUAAAGAAAGAAACUAUAAUCCCAAUUAAUAUAGGGUAUUUCAAAAAAUCUGCACUUGCAUAUUUUUUGAGAUCUUCCUAGAUUUUAAAGCUUCUUUCGCGGUUUUGCUUCCUAGUAUUUCCAUUAUCCUCAUUUGAUUGAAGUCCUUAAUGAAUAGUAUAUAUGCCGCUCUAUUUUGAUGUGCUAGUUUUCUUUAUGAUUUACCAAUAAGAGGAUGUGAAAUUAUCAAUAUAGUUGUUACAUUUGCUUUCAGAUCAACAUUUAUAGAAGAAACUUCCACUUUCCUUCACUUGAUAAAAAUGGCUGUGACAAGUUAUGACAUUGUCUUUAAUAGUUAGAAUGAAAUUCAUAGUUAGAAAACAGUACUGAGCUAUCAAGAUGCCUAUCUUGAUUUAAUUUUGUUUUUAAAUAAUUUACCACAUAUUUUCCACAACAAGAAUAAAAGGGUUAAACUCAUGCAUUCCUUCCCAUAAAGAACAUUUUUUUCAAAAUUGGGAGUUUUUUCACUGCAGUUUUUCCUUGCACACAUCACCUUUCAAUUCAUUUUAUAAAUUACUAUAUUAAUUACACAUGAAAUAUUGCACUACAGCAAAUAAACUUAUUUAUUUUAGAUGAGCCCUAAUCUAUCAUGAUCCAUGAUCUUGGAGUGCAAAAUGGUAAAGGAAAGGAAGGAAAUAUACUGUUGUCUUCCACAAGGGUUUCUCAGUACCUUGUCCUUAAUUCUUUAGUUACAAAUUCAGCACCUCCUGUUUGGCUUUGGUAUUUCCAGUCUUCAACAUUGCAGGAAAAUAAGAGUUCAUUUUACACCAACUCUAAAUUAGUUUUAACCCUAGUAUCUAAACUGCAUCUUGCAUUCCUCUAUUGUUUGCCACUAUGACAAGUGCCACCAUUUUUCACCGCCGUGUAAGUGGAACUUCCUUGAAUAGAAAUUGUCACCUUAAAAUUCGCUUUUCACAGUCCAGAUUUUUUUUCCUUUUUACUUUUUUUUUCGUUCUUUCAAUAAGUGCUUUUAAUGAAGUUCCAAAGUUUAAACCUCAGUGCUAAAACAAAUUAGUGGCAUUAUUCAGCAAUACCAUGUAUUUUAUUUACCCUAAAUAUGGAUCUGUGGACUUACCAGACCCCCUAUAAAAACUAUAAAACUGCUAUGUAAAAACUAUAAAAACUAUAAAAACUGCUUGAUCUUUGAUUAUGAGCUGUUUCAGUGUCUUUUAUAGAUAUAUAGACAGACUAUAGAUAAAUAUAAAGAAUAUAAAGAUUUGCCAGAGCAGAAAUGCCAUUCCCCAGAGUGCUGGCAUUUGGAACUAUAAAGAGAAAUGAAAGAAGUGAAGUAUUUCAUAGUCAGCAAGGGUUUUAAUCCUCUCUCUGAAAACACUCUUGUCUUUGUUUAUUGCUUUAAGGAAAGGAAAACCCUUUGUAAAUAAUUGCUUCACAUGUGGAUAGUUUCUAUAUGUGAAGCAUUUAAGCAAAAAUCUGAACUUUCCAUUUAACAAGGUCACAAUUCUCCUGUGUGGUCAAAGCUACCAAGACAAGAGUGGAAAAGUACAGAUUUCCUAUACCAAAAGAAAUAUAUUUGAAAGACAAUUAAGAAAAAUUAUGUACCUCGUAUUUAUAUAUGAAAUAUUUAUAUUGCACUUUCUUUGGUAUUGAUCCUCAAUAUGAAUAUUUCCUUACCUAUAAAAUUUCCAUAAAUAUUAAUGAAAGCAAAUAGGCUCAGUCAAUGUUUGCCCUAGGAGCAUAGGACUAUGGGAAUAUAGACCUGAUGUCAAGGACAAAGAUUAGCUUACAACCUAAGCCAGUGACACACUACACCAGAAGAUACAUUGCACCAUUCAAUAAAAGAAUGAAGUGAUUCAUUAUCAUUUGUGGGUGCCUUCUAUGAGUUUUCUGUUUGCUUACUUGACCAACAUGAACUCCAGUCUUUGACUGGUAGAAUCUACUUUGUACAGGAGCACUUGUUAUGCCAGAGGAAGAAUGGAUAAUUCAUAGGUUGGAAUUACGCUAAAAUGUGUGUUUAGAUGAUAUAACUGUAUUUGAGUUCUGUCCAAGAGGGAAAUAGAAACUGGCAACCUAGCCAAAAUAAGAAUUAAAAUCAUGAAACUCCUAGGCCAAGAACAAGAAAGUGAGGGAUGAAAGCAAGACUGCAGUAACUGCUCCUCUCAGAUUUCUAAGUGUCCUGAUCUUCCAGCUGACCCUGAAAGCUUUAAUCUCUUUUCUUCUGACUCACAUGGUAAAAACUUCUCCACUAUGCUUUGAUUCCACUAUUCCCAACCAGAUCUCUUCUGCAUUCAUUCAUAUCCCUUGGUCAUAAGUAACUGCUUUCAAGCAUCUUUCAUGUCCCUGACUUUUUUAUUUCAUAAAUGCCAUCAGCAAAUCCGCAAAUUCAGUUUGUCACGCCAUUGUUUUUGUUGGGUUUUUUGUUUUUUGUUUUGGUUUGUUUUUUUGUUUGCUUGUUGUCUUAUUUUGAUUUGAUUCUUUGCAUAGUGCUAGCAUUUCCUGAAGUGAGAGGAAAA
ensembl:lncRNA